rnacentral:rRNA from 1 species
UACGUAGGGUGCAGGCGUUAAUCGGAAUUACUGGGCGUAAAGCGUGCGCCGGCGGUUUGCUAAGACAGGUGUGAAAUCCCCGGGCUUAACCUGGGAACUGCGCUUGUAACUGGCAAGCUAGAGUGUGGCAGAGGGGGGUGGAAUUCCAGGUGUAGCAGUGAAAUGCGUAGAGAUCUGGAGGAACACCGAUGGCGAAGGCAGCCCCCUGGGCUAACACUGACGCUCAUGCACGAAAGCGUGGGGAGCAAACAGG